AUGGACAUGAGGGCCCCUGCUCAGUUUCUUGGGAUCUUGUUGCUCUGGUUUCCAGGUGCCAGAUGUGACAUCUGGAUGACUCAGUCUCCAUCGUCCAUGUUUGGCUCUCUGGGAGACAGAGUCAGUCUCACUUGCCAGGCUAGUCAGAGCAUUAGAGUUUAUUUAAGCUGGUAUCAGCAGAAACAGGUUGGAACUAUUAAACUCCUGAUCUACUCUACAUCCAAAUUAGAUUCUGGUGUCCCAUCAAGGUUCAGUGGCAGUGGGUCUUAGUCAGAUUAUUCUCUCACCAUCAACAGCCUAGAGUCUGAAGAUGUAGCAAUUUAUUACUGUCUACAACAUGCUAGUUCUCCUCC